rnacentral:rRNA from 1 species
UGCGAUCGCCCGUGAGGGCGGUCACGAAGCCCUGACGAGUAGGAGGGUCGCGGCGGUGAGCGCAGAAGGGCUGGCCGCGAGGCCGUCUGGAGCCGCCGUCGGUGCAGAUCUUGGUGGUAGUAGCAAAUACUCCAGCGAGGCCCUGGAGGACUGACGUGGAGAAGGGUUUCGUGUGAACAGCCGUUGCACACGAGUCAGUCGAUCCUAAGCCCUAGGCGAAAGCCGAUGUCGAUGCGGUGUAGUUUUUACCAAAUAUAUAUUUAUAUAUAUGUAUGUAUAGAGCGAGAACACACCCGUCGGGCGAAAGGGAAUCCGGUUCCUAUUCCGGAA